rnacentral:rRNA from 1 species
CCUACGGGAGGCAGCAGUGGGGAAUCUUGCGCAAUGCCCGAAAGGGUGACGCAGCGACGCCGCGUGGAGGAUGAAGGCCUUCGGGUUGUAAACUCCUUUCAGCAGGGACGAAGCCGCAAGGUGACGGUACCUGCAGAAGAAGCCCCGGCUAACUACGUGCCAGCAGCCGCGGUAAUACGUAGGGGGCAAGCGUUGUCCGGAUUUAUUGGGCGUAAAGAGCACGUAGGCGGUCUGUCAAGUCAGGUGUGAAAACUCUCGCCUCAACUGGGAGACUGCACUUGAAACUGGCAGACUAGAGUCCAAGAGAGGGAAGUGAAAUUCCUAGUGUAGGGGUGAAAUGCGCAGAUAUUAGGAAGAACACCAGUGGCGAAGGCGGCUUCCUGGAUUGCGACUGACGCUGAGGUGCGAAAGCUAGGGGAGCGAACAGGAUUAGAUCCCCUUGUAGU